UUCCGGUUGAUCCUGCCGGAGGCUACCGCUAUUGGAGUUCGAUUAAGCCAUGCGAGUCUAGAGGCCUAGCCUCGGCGUACCGCUCAGUAACACGUGGGUAACCUACCCUAUGCUGGGGGAUAAGCUCGGGAAACUGAGAAUAAUACCCCAUAGUCCACUACGCCUGGAACGGUGAGUGGAUCAAAGCUCCGGCGGCAUAGGAUGGGCCUGCGGCGUAUCAGGUUGUAGGGGGUGUAAUGUACCCUCUAGCCAUCUACGCGUACGGGUGUUGGGAGACAUUGCCCGGAGAUGGAUUCUGAGACACGAAUCCAGACCCUACGGGGUGCAGCAGGCGCGAAAACUUGGCAAUGCGAGAAAUCGUGACCAGGGAACUCCAAGUGGCAGGGGUAAGACCCUGUCUUUUUCCGACUCUAAAUAGGUCGGCGAAUAAGGGGUGGGUAAGGACGGUGCCAGCCGCCGCGGUAAUACCGGCGCCUCAAGUGGUAGUCGCUUUUAUUGGGCCUAAAACGUCCGUAGCCGGUCUGGUACAUUCGUGGGUAAAUCAACUCGCUCAACGAGUUGAAUUCUGCGAGGACGGCCAGACUUGGGACCGGGAGAGGUGUGGGGUACUCUCAGGGUAGGGGUAAAAUCCUGUCAUCCUGAGAGGACCACCUGUUGCGAAGGCUCCACACUAGAACGGAUCCGACGGUCAGGGACGAAGCCUAGGGGCACGAACCGGAUUAGAUACCCGGGUAGUCCUAGGUGUAAACGCUGUGGACUUGAUGUUGGGGACGCUCCGAGCGUUCUCAGUGUCGAAGCGAAGGUGAUAAGUCCACUGCCUGGGGAGUACGGUCGCAAGGCUGAAACUUAAAGGAAUUGGCGGGGGAGCACCGCAACCUGAGGAUUGUGCGGUUUAAUUGGAUUCAACGCCGGA
rnacentral:rRNA from 1 species